rnacentral:lncRNA from 1 species
CAUACAGAGGAAACAAGUAUUAAAGGAGGAAGCAAGGAGAAGGAACUGUCCAGAGGGAUUUGCAUUCCUCACUUAUUCAAGGCAUGCUCUGGCAGUAAGGUGUUACCCAGAAACAAGAUGCUCUUCAAGCAUCCUUGGGACACUGGCAAGGUUCCCUUAGGAUGGAGCGAUACAGAGUAGAGUAUCAGAACAAAACAACAGAAAUCAAAGCCAAAAAUAAAACCUGAGACAUAUACAUGUCUGCGUCUAUUAUGCAUGAUCAGCAAGAUGUUCUUGAAUACAUAACAGGUUGUUCUUGGAUGCCAUGUAUUUAGCAUUGCAUAUUACUAAAGAGGAUAAGCUUCGGUGUAUUCAUAAUUUUCUGGACCUGGAAGAAACAGCACCAGUGAUAUUUACUGCGCUGUUACUGCUGUGCUUAUGGAAAAAAACAGCCUUUGGUCAUAAGGAAAGAAAAGAAAGAAGCUAUGAAGAUUACUGUCACUGCAUGGAGAGCAGGAUAAAAAGGUAUGAAGAAGCAGGCACUGAAUUUCGUGUAAGAACUGAGAGACAGCACCUACUCUGGAGAGCUCCUAUAUCUGCAAUGCAAAGGAAUAAUAUGAUCUUAACCGUGUAAAAUAGAGCCUUGAGAGCAAGACUGUAAAAAGCUGUGAUUAGAAAGAGCAAUAACAGGGCAGAAAAGAUAACUGACCACAAAGAGUAUAGCUUAGGAAAGAGGAAGAAGCAAGAUUAAACACUAACUAGGAACCUAUUUUUGGAAGAUACUGUCAGAAAUGAUUGCCACCAUUUUGCUUAGGAGAAGCAGCUUAGAAACGGCUGGUAAGUGUAAGGUAAGAGUCACGGAAGUGUAUGAUGUGGCUUAAAAAUACGCUUUUCAUCAAUAUGAUACUAACAAGAAAGGGUGGGAGGCAGAAAGAGGUAAGGCAGGAGGAAACAGACUGUGGUUCUUUUAUUUGCUUAAAGGAUGUAGGGAUCCUAAUUAAAUAAUCACCCUUGAUUUGCAUUGAGCAAUAAUGACGUUUUCUUCCCCUGGCACUGAAGUGUGUUUUACAGUUUCAGCAGCACUCUGUGUUUAAAUCCUAUUAUUGCCUACCAGAGUAAACAAGAGGUUUAACACGAUUAUUUGGGAUGUUCCACUUAUUUAAAGCUGGAUUUGUUACUGCAUCUAUCAAUAGGUUCAGCAUUUUCUUAGACUGCAAGAUAGACAGUAAGCAUCUGUUUGCCUUUCUCUAAUGCUUAGGGUGCUGUUUCAUGAAAAUUAUGUGGGGAUUAGGGAGAAAUUUUCUCAGAAUAUUUUUAAAGGCCUAUUUCCAAAGAUACUAUUCUUGAGAGUUACAGCUUUUGGAAACUAAGGGAUCAUGAAAACAACAACUAAACCUUGUACAGAAGUUUAGG